rnacentral:rRNA from 1 species
AACGAACGCUGGCGGCAUGCCUAACACAUGCAAGUCGAACGAGACCUUCGGGUCUUGUGGCGCACGGGUGCGUAACGCGUGGGAACCUGCCCUUAGGUUCGGAAUAACUCUCCGAAAGGGGUGCUAAUACCGGAUAAUGUCUUCGGACCAAAGAUUUAUCGCCUUUGGUUGUGCCCGCGUUGGAUUAGCUAGUUGGGAGGGUAAAAGCCUACCAAGGCGACGAUCCAUAGCUGGUCUGAGAGGUUGAUCAGCCACACUGAGACUGAGACACGGCCCGGACUCCUACGGGAGGGAGGAGUGGGGAAUAUUGGACAAUGGGCGGAAGCCUGAUCCAGCAAUGCCGCGUGAGUGAUGAAGGCCUUAGGGUUGUAAAGCUCUUUUACCCGGGAUGAUAAUGACAGUACCGGGAGAAUAAGCUCCGGCUAACUCCGUG